GACGUAGGGGGCGAGCGUUGUCCGGAUUUAUUGGGCGUAAAGCGUGCGUAGGCGGCUGCGCAAGUCGGGUGUGAAACCCCGGGGCUCAACCCCGGAACUGCAUCCGAUACUGCGUGGCUAGAGGUAGGUAGGGGAGAUCGGAAUUCCUGGUGUAGCGGUGAAAUGCGCAGAUAUCAGGAGGAACACCGGUGGCGAAGGCGGCAUCCUGGGCCGGUAUUGACGCUGAGGAGCGAAAGCCAGGGGAGCAAACGGG
rnacentral:rRNA from 1 species